rnacentral:rRNA from 1 species
AUUGAACGCUGGCGGCAUGCCUUACACAUGCAAGUCGAACGGCAGCACGGGAGCAAUCCUGGUGGCGAGUGGCGAACGGGUGAGUAAAGUAUCGGAACGUGCCCAGUCGUGGGGGAUAACGUAGCGAAAGCUACGCUAAUACCGCAUACGAUCUAUGGAUGAAAGCGGGGGAUCGCAAGACCUCGCGCGAUUGGAGCGGCCGAUAUCAGAUUAGGUAGUUGGUGGGGUAAAGGCUCACCAAGCCGACGAUCUGUAGCUGGUCUGAGAGGACGACCAGCCACACUGGGACUGAGACACGGCCCAGACUCCUACGGGAGGCAGCAGUGGGGAAUUUUGGACAAUGGGCGCAAGCCUGAUCCAGCCAUGCCGCGUGCAGGAUGAAGGCCUUCGGGUUGUAAACUGCUUUUGUACGGAACGAAAAGGUUUGGCCUAAUAAGCUGAGCUCAUGACGGUACCGUAAGAAUAGGCACCGGCUAACUACGUGCCAGCAGCCGCUGUAA